GACGAACGCUGGCGGCGUGCCUAAUACAUGCAGGUAGAACGCUGAAGGAGGAGCUUGCUCUUCUGGAUGAGUUGCGAACGGGUGAGUAACGCGUAGGUAACCUGCCUGGUAGCGGGGGAUAACUAUUGGAAACGAUAGCUAAUACCGCAUAACAGUAGAUGUUGCAUGACAUUUACUUAAAAGGUGCAAUUGCAUCACUACCAGAUGGACCUGCGUUGUAUUAGCUAGUUGGUGGGGUAACGGCUCACCAAGGCGACGAUACAUAGCCGACCUGAGAGGGUGAUCGGCCACACUGGGACUGAGACACGGCCCAGACUCCUACGGGAGGCAGCAGUAGGGAAUCUUCGGCAAUGGACGGAAGUCUGACCGAGCAACGCCGCGUGAGUGAAGAAGGUCUUCGGAUCGUAAAGCUCGGUUGUAAGAGAAGAACGAGUGUGAGAGUGGAAAGUUCACACUGUGACGGUAUCUUACCAGAAAGGGACGGCUAACUACGUG
rnacentral:rRNA from 1 species